rnacentral:rRNA from 1 species
GGUUAAGCGACUAAGCGUACACGGUGGAUGCCCUGGCAGUCAGAGGCGAUGAAGGACGUGCUAAUCUGCGAUAAGCGUCGGUAAGGUGAUAUGAACCGUUAUAACCGGCGAUUUCCGAAUGGGGAAACCCAGUGUGAUUCGUCACACUAUCAUUAACUGAAUCCAUAGGUUAAUGAGGCGAACCGGGGGAACUGAAACAUCUAAGUACCCCGAGGAAAAGAAAUCAACCGAGAUUCCCCCAGUAGCGGCGAGCGAACGGGGAGGAGCCCAGAGCCUGAAUCAGUGUGUGUGUUAGUGGAAGCGUCUGGAAAGGCGCGCGAUACAGGGUGACAGCCCCGUACACAAAAAUGCACAUGCUGUGAGCUCGAUGAGUAGGGCGGGACACGUGGUAUCCUGUCUGAAUAUGGGGGGACCAUCCUCCAAGGCUAAAUACUCCUGACUGACCGAUAGUGAACCAGUACCGUGAGGGAAAGGCGAAAAGAACCCCGGCGAGGGGAGUGAAAAAGAACCUGAAACCGUGUACGUACAAGCAGUGGGAGCACGCUUCGGCGUGUGACUGCGUACCUUUUGUAUAAUGGGUCAGCGACUUAUAUUCUGUAGCAAGGUUAACCGAAUAGGGGAGCCGAAGGGAAACCGAGUCUUAACUGGGCGUUAAGUUGCAGGGUAUAGACCCGAAACCCGGUGAUCUAGCCAUGGGCAGGUUGAAGGUUGGGUAACACUAACUGGAGGACCGAACCGACUAAUGUUGAAAAAUUAGCGGAUGACUUGUGGCUGGGGGUGAAAGGCCAAUCAAACCGGGAGAUAGCUGGUUCUCCCCGAAAGCUAUUUAGGUAGCGCCUCGUGAAUUCAUCUCCGGGGGUAGAGCACUGUUUCGGCAAGGGGGUCAUCCCGACUUACCAACCCGAUGCAAACUGCGAAUACCGGAGAAUGUUAUCACGGGAGACACACGGCGGGUGCUAACGUCCGUCGUGAAGAGGGAAACAACCCAGACCGCCAGCUAAGGUCCCAAAGUCAUGGUUAAGUGGGAAACGAUGUGGGAAGGCCCAGACAGCCAGGAUGUUGGCUUAGAAGCAGCCAUCAUUUAAAGAAAGCGUAAUAGCUCACUGGUCGAGUCGGCCUGCGCGGAAGAUGUAACGGGGCUAAACCAUGCACCGAAGCUGCGGCAGCGACGCUUAUGCGUUGUUGGGUAGGGGAGCGUUCUGUAAGCCUGUGAAGGUGUGCUGUGAGGCAUGCUGGAGGUAUCAGAAGUGCGAAUGCUGACAUAAGUAACGAUAAAGCGGGUGAAAAGCCCGCUCGCCGGAAGACCAAGGGUUCCUGUCCAACGUUAAUCGGGGCAGGGUGAGUCGACCCCUAAGGCGAGGCCGAAAGGCGUAGUCGAUGGGAAACAGGUUAAUAUUCCUGUACUUGGUGUUACUGCGAAGGGGGGACGGAGAAGGCUAUGUUGGCCGGGCGACGGUUGUCCCGGUUUAAGCGUGUAGGCUGGUUUUCCAGGCAAAUCCGGAAAAUCAAGGCUGAGGCGUGAUGACGAGGCACUACGGUGCUGAAGCAACAAAUGCCCUGCUUCCAGGAAAAGCCUCUAAGCAUCAGGUAACAUCAAAUCGUACCCCAAACCGACACAGGUGGUCAGGUAGAGAAUACCAAGGCGCUUGAGAGAACUCGGGUGAAGGAACUAGGCAAAAUGGUGCCGUAACUUCGGGAGAAGGCACGCUGAUAUGUAGGUGAAGUCCCUCGCGGAUGGAGCUGAAAUCAGUCGAAGAUACCAGCUGGCUGCAACUGUUUAUUAAAAACACAGCACUGUGCAAACACGAAAGUGGACGUAUACGGUGUGACGCCUGCCCGGUGCCGGAAGGUUAAUUGAUGGGGUUAGCGGUAACGCGAAGCUCUUGAUCGAAGCCCCGGUAAACGGCGGCCGUAACUAUAACGGUCCUAAGGUAGCGAAAUUCCUUGUCGGGUAAGUUCCGACCUGCACGAAUGGCGUAAUGAUGGCCAGGCUGUCUCCACCCGAGACUCAGUGAAAUUGAACUCGCUGUGAAGAUGCAGUGUACCCGCGGCAAGACGGAAAGACCCCGUGAACCUUUACUAUAGCUUGACACUGAACAUUGAGCCUUGAUGUGUAGGAUAGGUGGGAGGCUUUGAAGUGUGGACGCCAGUCUGCAUGGAGCCGACCUUGAAAUACCACCCUUUAAUGUUUGAUGUUCUAACGUUGACCCGUGAUCCGGGUUGCGGACAGUGUCUGGUGGGUAGUUUGACUGGGGCGGUCUCCUCCUAAAGAGUAACGGAGGAGCACGAAGGUUGGCUAAUCCUGGUCGGACAUCAGGAGGUUAGUGCAAUGGCAUAAGCCAGCUUGACUGCGAGCGUGACGGCGCGAGCAGGUGCGAAAGCAGGUCAUAGUGAUCCGGUGGUUCUGAAUGGAAGGGCCAUCGCUCAACGGAUAAAAGGUACUCCGGGGAUAACAGGCUGAUACCGCCCAAGAGUUCAUAUCGACGGCGGUGUUUGGCACCUCGAUGUCGGCUCAUCACAUCCUGGGGCUGAAGUAGGUCCCAAGGGUAUGGCUGUUCGCCAUUUAAAGUGGUACGCGAGCUGGGUUUAGAACGUCGUGAGACAGUUCGGUCCCUAUCUGCCGUGGGCGCUGGAGAACUGAGGGGGGCUGCUCCUAGUACGAGAGGACCGGAGUGGACGCAUCACUGGUGUUCGGGUUGUCAUGCCAAUGGCACUGCCCGGUAGCUAAAUGCGGAAGAGAUAAGUGCUGAAAGCAUCUAAGCACGAAACUUGCCCCGAGAUGAGUUCUCCCUGACUCCUUGAGAGUCCUGAAGGAACGUUGAAGACGACGACGUUGAUAGGCCGGGUGUGUAAGCGCAGCGAUGCGUUGAGCUAACCGGUACUAAUGAACCGUGAGGCUUAACCUU